UACGUAGGGCGCAAGCGUUAUCCGGAAUUAUUGGGCGUAAAGAGCUCGUAGGCGGUUUGUCGCGUCUGCCGUGAAAGUCCGGGGCUCAACUCCGGAUCUGCGGUGGGUACGGGCAGACUAGAGUGAUGUAGGGGAGACUGGAAUUCCUGGUGUAGCGGUGAAAUGCGCAGAUAUCAGGAGGAACACCCAUAGCGAAGGCAGCUUGCUGGGACGUUACUGACGCUAAGGCGCGAAAGCGUGGGGAGCGAACAGG
rnacentral:rRNA from 1 species